GGAAUCUGCAAAGUGGAGCAGAGGCAGCCUGCUCUUCUGUGACAGCGCGUUCUCACCAGGACGAGCUCACUUUCAGAUCAGCAUUGCCUGCUUCUGAGGGCAGCUCCCCAAACGACCGAAUUAUGGUGCACCUUCCUCAGAGCCUCCUUUGCUAAGAGUUCCUCCAUCUCUCAAAGCCUCCACACUGGGCACCCAACUUUCCACACGCACACCCUUGGGGAACCAACUACAUCCAAACUGUCGCAAUAUGUGUGUUCUUGUACACUACGGUUUUCGUUUCCGAAGCGGAAGAUUCUCAAAGAUUGCGUCGGUGGUGAAGGAGGCGUGGGCAUUCUGAGUGUUAACCCGAAAGGACAGAUGCUGUGUGACACCACCUGGGGACACUCACUCGCUCUGCACACCUCGACGGCCUGAAAUAAAAAACUAUCAGGGCAUUGCCACAUGACAUCACUGCCAGAUCAACGUCAUUCCAAUC
ensembl:lncRNA